GGCUAGGUAGCUUAGUUUGUGAAGCACUCGUCUAGCAUACAAGAGUCCUGGGUUCAAAUCCCUGCCGAGCAC
rfam:Aedes aegypti strain Liverpool supercont1.190 genomic scaffold, whole genome shotgun sequence.